AAAAAGUCUCGGGAUGAGGUGUGGAUAGCGGAGAAAUUCCAAUCGAACUCGGAGAUAGCUGGUUCUCCUCGAAAUAGCUUUAGGGCUAGCCUCGAGCUGGAGUCUAACGGAGGUAAAGCACUGAACUGACGCGGGGCCCAAAAAGGUUACCAACUCAUAUCAAACUAAGAAUGCCGUCAAGAUACCCUCGGGAGUCAGUCUGCGUGAGAUAAGUCGCGUGGACAAAAGGGAAAGAGCCCAGACCGACAGCUAAGGUCCCAAAGUACGUGUUAAGUGGAAAAGGAUGUGGGAUUUCAUAGACAACUAGGAUGUUGGCUUAGAAGCAGCCAUACAUUUAAAGAGUGCGUAAUAGCUCACUAGUCGAGAAAACCUGCGCCGAAAAUGUAACGGGGCUAAAACACGACACCGAAGCUACGGAUUUCCUACAAGGUAGGAAGUGGUAGAGGAGCAUCCUGCAAGGACGAAGCCAAAGUGAGAGCGAUGGUGGACGAAACAGGAGAGAGAAUGCCGGAAUGAGUAGCGAGAUACAUGUGAGAAACAUGUAGGCCGAAUAUCUAAGGAUUCCUGGGUAAAGCUAAUCUUCCCAGGGUUAGUCGGGGCCUAAGGCGAGGACGAAAGUCGUAGUCGAUGGAUAACAGGUUGAUAUUCCUGUACUACACAUAAUCAGAACUGUGGGGACGCAGGAGGAUAGGGAAACCGGGGAAUGGAAAGACCCGGUCAAGCGUAAAGCUGUGGGAGAUAGGCAAAUCCGUCUCCUGUAAGUGAAACGUGAUGAGGACUGAAAAAAAGUAAGGAAGUUUCCGAAUCCACACUGCCGAGAAAAGCCGCUAUUGCGUUAUGUGUACCCGUACCGUAAACCGACACAGGUAGAUGAGGAGAAAAUCCACAGGCCGACGGGAGAAGUGUUGUUAAGGAACUCGGCAAAAUGACCCCGUAACUUCGGGAUAAGGGGAGCCUCGCAAGAGGCCGCAGAAAAGAGGCACAAGCAACUGUUUAGCAAAAACAUAGGUCUAUGCGAAACCGUAAGGUGAAGUAUAUGGGCUGACGCCUGCCCGGUGCUGGAAGGUUAAAAGGAGAGGUCAGCGCAAGCGAAGCUUUGAAUUCAAGCCCCAGUAAACGGCGGCCGUAACUAUAACGGUCCUAAGGUAGCGAAAUUCCUUGUCAGGUAAGUUCUGACCCGCACGAAAGGCGU
rnacentral:rRNA from 1 species